AAGGUGAAAGAAGGCGGAGGAGAAACCAGACGGAGAAGGAGAAGAAGCGAAAUAGGAGAGCAAGGAGAACUUAUACGACGUCGUUCAGCAUCUCAUCUUCGAACCUUCUAAGAUCAAGGCCACCUUCGUGCCUCCCCGAAGCUUCUAGAAACUACUCUCGCCAUUUCUGUAAUCUUCCAACUUUUCUUUUUCUUUUGUCACUU
rnacentral:lncRNA from 1 species